rnacentral:rRNA from 1 species
UACAUGUGGGGCAAGCGUUGUUCGGAAUUACUGGGCAUAAAGGGUGCGUAGGCGGUUUGUUAAGUCACUGGUGAAAGUUUUCGGCCCAACCGGAAAAUUGCCUGUGAUACUGGCGAACUUGAGUGCGUGAGGGGUGGGGGGAACGAGCAGUGUAGCGGUGAAAUGCGUAGAUAUUGCCCGGAAGGCCGGAGCCGAAGGGGCCCCACUGGUACGCAACUGACGCUGAGGCACGAAAGCGUGGGGAGCAAACAGG